rnacentral:rRNA from 1 species
GAUGAACGCUAGCGGCAGGCUUAAUACAUGCAAGUCGAGGGGUAGCAUGAUUGUAGCAAUACAAUUGAUGACGACCGGCAAACGGGUGCGGAACACGUACACAACCUUCCUACAAGUGGGGAAUAGCCCAGAGAAAUUUGGAUUAAUACCCCGUAACAUAGCGAUGUGGCAUCACAUUGCUAUUAUAGCUUCGGCGCUUGUUGAUGGGUGUGCGGCUGAUUAGAUAGUUGGCGGGGUAACGGCCCACCAAGUCUACGAUCAGUAGCUGAUGUGAGAGCAUGAUCAGCCACACGGGCACUGAGACACGGGCCCGACUUCCUACGGGAGGCAGCAGUAAGGAAUAUUGGACAAUGGACGCAAGUCUGAUCCAGCCAUGCCGCGUGAAGGAUUAAGGUCCUCUGGAUUGUAAACUUCUUUAUAAGGGUACGAAAAAGGUACUUCUAGAUCGUCUGACGGUACCUUAUGAAU